GAGGGUAUAGCUCAAGUGGUAGAGCGCGUGCUUAGCGUGCACAAGGUCCUGGGUUCAAUCCCCAGUACCUCCU
rnacentral:tRNA from 1 species